GUCUUAACCGGGCGUUAAGUUGCAGGGUAUAGACCCGAAACCCGGUGAUCUAGCCAUGGGCAGGUUGAAGGUUGGGUAACACUAACUGGAGGACCGAACCGACUAAUGUUGAAAAAUUAGCGGAUGACUUGUGGCUGGGGGUGAAAGGCCAAUCAAACCGGGAGAUAGCUGGUUCUCCCCGAAAGCUAUUUAGGUAGCGCCUCGUGAAUUCAUCUCCGGGGGUAGAGCACUGUUUCGGCAAGGGGGUCAUCCCGACUUACCAACCCGAUGCAAACUGCGAAUACCGGAGAAUGUUAUCACGGGAGACACACGGCGGGUGCUAACGUCCGUCGUGAAGAGGGAAACAACCCAGACCGCCAGCUAAGGUCCCAAAGUCAUGGUUAAGUGGGAAACGAUGUGGGAAGGCCCAGACAGCCAGGAUGUUGGCUUAGAAGCAGCCAUCAUUUAAAGAAAGCGUAAUAGCUCACUGGUCGAGUCGGCCUGCGCGGAAGAUGUAACGGGGCUAAACCAUGCACCGAAGCUGCGGCAGCGACACUGUGUGUUGUUGGGUAGGGGAGCGU
rnacentral:rRNA from 1 species